GUCUGGGUAGUUUAAUUAAAAUAUUGAUUUGUGGUAUCAGAGAUAUAGCGUUUAUCUUAGGCU
rnacentral:tRNA from 1 species